UUAGUGGAAAUGAAUCAGAAGAGAUGAGGAACGAAAAGGCAGAAAAGAAGUUCCUCGUCCGCGGAUCUUUAUCCGUUUUACUUUUAUUGCCAAAUAUGGCGAUAAUUAAUUUUUAUUUAUUUUUUAUCAAAAUUUCAAAACAAAAUAAUCCGUUCAUCAAUAAUCGGCCAAUCCACGUGGUCAGUGAAUCACCGGAACCUCACAAUACUACCCACUUUCCAAAAUGAUCUACAUCUGUAGAUUCAUUUUAAGCAUUCCUGACAUACGGUAGGUAUUUCCCCUAGAACUCUCUCUCUGAUAUUUACCCUGCGCAUGGGAACCACUC
rnacentral:lncRNA from 1 species